GCUGUGCCUUUCAGUUAAACUGGCUUUUCAUCAUAUCCUAAAUAUUCUGUUGUAGCAUAAUCCCUCAUUUUGACUGAGUAGUGCUGAAACAGCUGGAGCAGCAGAUAGUAUAUCUCUACACACAACACCUUGUCAUGAUCGAUUUCUGACUCAAUCAAUAACCUAUAAACAGGUUGGAAAUGGGCGAAUGAGUGAAGGAGUGUCACCCAGGCAGAGAGAGAGGGAGGAGGGGAGAGAGCCCAUCCAGCCCACUGAGGACAAACUUGAAGAAGCAGAGCAGCAGAAAAAGCUCCGCAAGACACCAGUGCAGCUGCUCGGCGGCUUCUGAAGCUACACAGGCGGAGGAGCUUGUUGCGGAUUUACCAUGAUUGCCACAACUCAACAAAACAUGACCACGGAGCUGAUGAGUCUCACUUGUUACUCCGUUCCCAUCUCACCAUGGAGGAUCUGGAGAGGGAGGAGUUCAAAGUUCAUGACCCCUGUGUGGCAUGGCUGAAUGAAAACGAAGUGGCUCUGCGCACCAGAGAG